GCACAGGUGACACUGCCCUGGCACAGGUGACACCGCCCUGGCACAGGGGACACACCUGGCACAGGUGACACACCUGGCACAGGGGACACACCUGGCACAGGGGACACCGCCCUGGACUCUGCCCCGGGCGGGGCUCGGGACACCCCAGACCCUGGGUGGUGGCACUUUGGGGACACCCCAGACCCCGGGUGGUGGCACUUUGGGGACACCCCAGACCCCGGGUGGUGGCACUUUGGGGACAGGGGGUGCCCAUCCAUGAGAAGCCGAGGAGCUGUGGGUACAAAGGAGUUUAUUGGGGACAUCAGGGGACACCGGGGGGACAUCAGGGGACACCGGGGGGGUUCUACAGCCCGGAGAAAGGGACACUGGGGAUGGCACUGCGGUGACAUCAGAGCUCAGGCCAGGGCACGGCGGUGACACCGAGGUGACACCUGUGGCUCUGAGGUGACACUGGUGACACUGUGGUGACACCGAGGUGGCACUGAGGUGACAGCUGUGGCUCUGCGGUGACACUGAGGUGACACCGGUGACACUGAGGUGACAUCAGAGCUCAGGCCAGGGCACGGCGGUGACACCGAGGUGACACCUGUGGCUCUGAGGUGACACCUGUGGCACUGAGGUGACACUGGUGGCACUGUGGUGACACCGAGGUGACACCGGUGACACUGAGGUGACACUGGGGUGACACCUGUGGCUCUGAGGUGGCACUGAGGUGACACCUGUGGCUCUGCGGUGACACUGAGGUGACACCGGUGGCACUGCGGUGACAUCAGAGCUCAGGCCAGGGCAGGGCGGUGACACCGAGGUGACACCGGUGACACUGCGGUGACACUGGUGACACUGUGGUGACACCGAGGUGACACCAGUGGCACUGUGGUGACACUGGGGUGACACCAGUGGCACUGUGGUGACACCGAGGUGACACCGGUGGCACUGUGGUGACACUGAGGUGACACCGGUGGCACUGUGGUGACACCGGGGUGACACCGGUGGCACUGUGGUGACACUGGGGUGACACCGGUGGCACUGUGGUGACACCGAGGUGACACCGGUGGCACUGUGGUGACACUGAGGUGACACCUGUGGCUCUGAGGUGACACCCAGGUGACACCGGUGGCUCUGAGGUGACACUGAGGUGGCACUGGUGACGUCAGCGGUGACGUCAGAGCUUGGCGAAGGGCACGGCCUCGGGGCCUUUCUUGUCCAGCGCCGCCUGCACCGACUUGGGGAUGUCCUCGGUCUGCAGCAUGGCCAUGUUCCAGGUGGC
rnacentral:lncRNA from 1 species